rnacentral:lncRNA from 1 species
CAGGUAUUGUUUGGUUGCCAGCAAACAGAUGGUUGGCAGAUUUCUCACAGUUUGGGUAACAGGUUAGUAGAGGAGCAUAUUAGUAGAGGAGCAUGCAAGUUUGGAAAGUUAUGUUUGUUGGCGGGAUUCAUUGUGCUGGUUAAUUGAAGUCAUAAUAUAUCAGCAGGUAUGGCAUGGGAUUCAUUGUUCUGGUUAGAUGAGAUAUAUCAUCUGGUAAAUCAUUGGAUACAUUUCAACGUAUUGGAUUAUUUUGUUCUGAACUCUUUAGUCAGGUACCUUCCUUCUCUCAACACAACUUCAGCAACAUGUUUUAUAUAUUACAACUUCCAAGUUAAUAGUAGAGAUUUAAUCUCAAUACUUGCUUGCUUGGUGUAAGAAUGUAGAAGUAUGUUUUACUUUGGCUCCUAGCUGAAGACUACAGUUGGGUGUUCCAAUAACUUAUUUUUGGCAUGGUCUUCUUUGCUACCUCUGCAUGUGCGAUCCUCAUUAUUUGUUGCUUGAUUCUCUAUGCAAGAAUCUUGGCUCAUGGUCGAACAUAUAUGGUCACAUAUCUGCUCCAGGGAUUUAUUUUUUGUCAGAGCCGAUCGACAAAUGAUCAGCCUGAAAGUAUAAUUUUCUAGCUUAAUACAUGUCAUGCAAGUAUGGUUUCCUUAAUGUGACUGGUAAUGUAAAUUUUGUGGGUCUCUCAGUUCCUAUGAGCCUAAUAUAGUUAAUUCGAAAGCAUGAUUCUGAUGGAAAUGCAAAAGAAACAGAACCUGAAUUAGUAGUUAAUUGGAUAGCAUGAUUCCGAUGGAAAUGCAAAAGAAACAGAACCAACAAUAGUAGUCUACCUUAAAGCUCGAAGAAUUCAUGAGGAAUUCUUGCUAGCAUCUAGAAUUGGAUGCCCUCAGGAAGACUACUGUAAGUCAAUUUUCAUGACUGAUUUGCUCAUUUCCUCUAGCUGCACAAUAUGACAUAUUGCUUCUUAAUUCAACACUUACUGCUACUUAGUAAUAAGAGGACAUGUGGGACUUUGUUUCUCGAAUUGACACUCAAUAGUAGAAGAUGUUCAUACCUAGAAUAGUUGAUCACAAACUGCCGUAUCAUGGCUUUCUAGCUUAUAUGUUACAGAGCAAGUGAGCAGCCUCUACUCCCCCCCCCUCUAAUUAAUCUCUAUUUUGUAGCUUUGAAUAGCUAAAAAAAGUUGAUUCUGGUAUAUAUUCAUUGGCGCAAACAUUAGAAGUUCUAUGAUAUUUUUUCUUACCACAUAUAUAUGAAGGAUUGUGCAGACAACUUGCAGCGUUGGAAUCAACAUCUGGGAACAAUGCAUGGACAUUUAGAUAUAUAUUUUUAGCAUUCUUCAAGAUCUUGACUUAAUUUCUUUUUACACUGUUAAAUAAUAAAAGUAACAAAAUGUUGUACAAUAGUAGUAUCUGUUAUGUAGUCAAGUUUACUGAAAUCAAAAGAAAACCAAGAAAGGAGAGCCGAAGUUCAAGGCAUGUUCAGCUCCAUUGAUUUCCUCUCUCAAUGGAGUGUUAGUCCUCUGAAUAUUUUUAUUCCUCUGAUCUCAAACAUUGUCUACACAAGAGUCGAAGCUUUGUCUGCCACUGCUCUUCAGUUCACACCGCCGAUGUUGUGAGGACUGGCAGCUCUUCAGUUCAUGCUGCCAAUGUUGUGAGGACUGGNNNNNNNNNNAAAAAGUUGAUUCUGGUAUAUAUUCAUUGGCGCAAACAUUAGAAGUUCUAUGAUAUUUUUUCUUACCACAUAUAUAUGAAGGAUUGUGCAGACAACUUGCAGCAUUGGAAUCAACAUCUGGGAACAAUGCAUGGACAUUUAGAUAUAUAUUUUUAGCAUUCUUCAAGAUCUUGACUUAAUUUCUUUUUACACUGUUAAAUAAUAAAAAUAACAAAAUGUUGUACAAUAGUAGUAUCUGUUAUGUAGUCAAGUUUACUGAAAUCAAAAGAAAACCAAGAAAGGAGAGCCGAAGUUCAAGUCUUGUUCAGCUCCAUUGAUUUCCUCUCUCAAUGGAGUGUUAGUCCUCUGAAUAUUUUUAUUCCUCUGAUCUCAAACAUUGUCUACACAAGAGUCGAAGCUUUGUCUGCCACCGCUCUUCAGUUCACACCGCCGAUGUUGUGAGGACUGGCAGCUCUUCAGUUCAUGCUGCCAAUGUUGUGAGGACUGGCAGGACUUCAAUGGGUGCUGAGGCUGCAACCUAGGGCGAGGGCGUCGGUGCGUUGAGAUGGUGGGGCCACGUCAGUGGGAGGACGUGAGGCGGCGAUGUCCACCCGGAUCUAUAGCCGCAACAGAAGAACAACUCAGAGAGGACGUGCAGCUCCUGUGUGUAGUAGAUAAAUCGCUGCCCAGAUAAAUCACCGGGACACUACCAAGUGUGUCGUCAGUAGGAUAAAAAAUCUUGAGCGUGCCUCAGGUGCGACUCUAGCUAUUGAAAAUCAAAGAACCUGAAUACUUCCGGAGUUUGAUAAGGCUUUACGGUGAGUUCUCAUAGUGGUCUAUGUGCAUGAUGGGAUGCUGGUACUGCUGUUCUACUUUUACUGCUGUUGUCAUUAAGCAGAUUUUGUCAAAGCAAUUGCUAUGUGUAUUAAUUUGGAUAGGAUCAGUUAAAGUACAUCUCAUUCAACGGCGUUUUUUGUCGUGUGUUUUAACUUUUUAUUAUUAGUAGCAGUGGUUUCUAUAGCUAGCCCAAUGAUGAUCCCCACUUUAACCGACAUGAUGUCAAAGCUCAAGGCUAUCAGUGACCAUCCAUAUAGCUCAUCAAGUCAUCUUCAGAUCACUAGCCCUAAUGGUGUCAAGCUCAAGGAUAUCUACGAGCACUCGAACCUCCUGCAUGACGAAGUCACUCGAUGAGGAUGUGCUUACCCAGGAGAAUGAACCUAUUGAUGCUCCCCUUGCAGCCGGAAGUAUCUUGAAAGCUGGUAAAGUGGUGUGGUACUGUUUCCUCUCUUUUACCUUGAUGCAAAUACAUCUGUGAUGGUGUCCCAGCAAUGCAAGUCGUCAUUUAAUUCACUAGCUAUAUAAAAUGCUCAGCAAAAGAUAGUUCCUAUAACAUUUUGUGACCAAGGAAACGUGGUGACCUUUUGGCACUUUUCAUGUAGCGAAAACCUCAUACAUGAGCAUAUCCGCGAUGCAAGGAGCUUUUGUGGUGACUCGGAGGAGGUAGCAGGGGGAGGAAGAGAAGGGAUAGGUUCCAUUACGAUCUUCUGUUGACACAAUGGUCGUCGGUGGCGAGAACAUGAGGACCAUGGUGAGUGGCUUUGUACCAGGACUGUUUCAUGCAUUUGAUUUUGAGGUUGGAUAUUGAUCCCUUUUCCUAGGAUUCAGGAUUGUCAAAUGCCUAAUUGAUGCUUUAAUUAAUUCGUUGCCUUCAGUUCGUGUAGCAUACUGAUAACAUAAUUUGGCUCAUUUCGUGAAUGAUGUGAACUUACAGAGUGCCAUAGUACCAAAUCAUGUGUAGCAGGGUGUAGGGAGUCUCUAGUUUUUUUUAUAUGCUAAUCACUGAUUGCUACCAUUAGCAAGAAUUUCCUUCACCACCAAAAGCACGACACGUGAUAACCAUUGUGCUUUCUUUCUAGAGCUGGUUUUGGGUGUACCACUAUACUAUACCCUACAGAGAUGUCUCGUAAACAGAACAGUUCUGUCAUGAUGAGCUGUAUAUUUGAUGGACUUGGAGCUGUCUAAUUUGGACUUGAAAUUACAGUGUAAAAUUUCCACAUUGUAUAUUUUCUUUUGAGGAAGCAAGAUUGCUUCCUUGUUGUCUUUCUGCUCUAGGCACAAGAAUAGUGCAAGGUUGCAUGUGUGGAAUUAAUGAAGGCAAUAAUCCUACACGGAGGUGCCCCUUAAACAUCGUGUUGUAAACAAAAUCGCAUCAGUUUUUACAAGAUACAAAAAACUAUCAGUAGUGCGCACUUAUUAGCUAGAAAAUCCAUAUAACUUGAGAAGCUCCAAAGUUUUACUAGGUCGCCUGCAAUCUAACAGUUUGGAGUGUAAUGACUAUGCAUGUUCAUUUAUGUCUUGUGAGACUACAUUUUUGGUUGUUGGCUGGAGCUAUCACUAUGGCUGUUUUACUUUUCAAUCAAAUAAAUUUGUAUGGCCACCAAAAACUAAUGACAUGUCAACAAUUAUCAUUAGCAGCCCAGUUUAAUGAUCUUUUUUGAUUAAAAUUUCAAUGGAAAGCUCAUGACAGUUUGCACCCCCUUAUCUGCAUUUUACUUAACCUAUUGCAACUAUACUCUGACACUUACUAGCUAUUUUUUCAGGUUACAAUUUAUAGACAUGUAUUGACCUAUUGCGGCUAUAGAGUAUGCCUAAGCCAAUGGCCAGACAUCGGCUGUUCGGAUCCACCCUUAAGCCGAGGCACAAGUCCAUUGCGGUUGAUUAUUGUUUGGGGAUUCAGUUUCAUGGUGAGAUAUGAUUUUCUGGAUCUUGUUAUCGCUGAACUGUGAUUUGUUGGUUUGGGAACUAAAGUUGGUUGCUUGCAUCAAGGGGAUUCAUAUUGGUUGAAACCUUGAAGUUGAACAUGAAGGGCACACAUUUGAUUUCCAUUGGGUGUUGCCCUUGUUUAGCACAUUAGUAGAUGGUCUCUUACUGGAUUAUGGCAGUAGUAGUGUGGUAUUGUUGUGAAUUUUGUUUUCUUCUUUUACUAGACCAAUUGUUUCAAAGAAUUUUGAGAUGCUACAAUACUGAUAGACAUGUGGCUAUCCCUUCAUUUUAUCAAGGAUGACUAUUGUUGAUGAAAGGACAUUUACAUAUUUAUAGGUUGCAACCAGAUCAAUGACCGGUUAAUCUAACACCCAGUUUUAAAGAGAGAACAAAGUAGGAAGGGUGUGUGAUGGCGCUGGGGCCAUGUGUUGGAUAUAACAUGUUGGAUAGUCUGGACAACCAAAUUUCUCCCCUAUAUAUGUGCUGGAUUUGGGGGAGCUCUAACUGUUCAAACAGUUGGAAUUUUCAAGAGCCCACUGAGCGCCUAUUUGAUGUCCGAACACGCGCGGGCGUACGAGGGAGAAAUGAGCGCCGACCUUGGGGACAAUCUUAAUCAUUUGUUUGAUUCAUGUAUAUGCAUUGUAGCCCGUAGCAAUGCACGGGCAUUCUACUAGGUGAGUUGAGGCAGACAGCAAGGGCCGAGGUUGACAAAUAAAAUGCCAUUGUGAUGGUAAGGAAAAUAUCAGGUUCUAAUUAGUGGAGGACUACAAAAGUUAAAGAGGUCUUGAUGAGAUGAUUGACAUGACAUGAAUAGUUAAUUUGACAUGUAUCAUGGGCACUUCUUCAUUAUUCAGUUGUCUCGCUUGAAUUUGUGGACCAACUGCUGGACAUAGUUCAGUUUUCACAGAUAGCAAAAGCUGCAAAACUGGGUGUGCUAGAUUUUGUUCAAAGUGCAACUUUUAUUUGAUAAAGCCGAUCAGGUUUACAUGUGUAGAUCAAUGCAGUACCAACUGUAAAAGAGUUACAACGCAAGGUGAAGAGUCUCCUUUUUUGUAUUACACUGGGAUUGAACCUGCAUGUUGCUGGGGCAACCCUCUUUUAUUUUGGUCUUCUCUAUUUUCUGGUGUAUCUUUGUUUAUCAAAAAUAGUUGUCUGCCCUGCCCUCGACAAUUCGCAGUGUGUGCACGGCAUCUUAUAUACACUAUGGCUGGCUAAUUUAGAUGAUUACCACCUACGACCACUAUCUUGCUUAUUUUUCUUGUGA